rnacentral:rRNA from 1 species
GACGAACGCUGGCGGCGUGCUUAACACAUGCAAGUCGAACGCUGAAGCUCAGCUUUUGUUGGGUGGAUGAGUGGCGAACGGGUGAGUAACACGUGAGUAACCUGCCUCCUUCUUUGGGAUAACGCCCGGAGACGGGUGCUAAUACUGGAUAUUCACUGGUCUUCGCAUGGGGGUUGGUGGAAAGGGUUUUUCUGGUGGGGGAUGGGCUCGCGGCCUAUCAGCUUGUUGGUGGGGUUAUGGCCUACCAAGGCUUUGACGGGUAGCCGGCCUGAGAGGGUGACCGGUCACAUUGGGACUGAGAUACGGCCCAGACUCCUACGGGAGGCAGCAGUGGGGAAUAUUGCACAAUGGGCGCAAGCCUGAUGCAGCGACGCCGCGUGAGGGAUGGAGGCCUUCGGGUUGUGAACCUCUUUCGCUCAUGGUCAAGCCGCAACAAUGGUUGUGGUGAGGGUAGUGGGUAAAGAAGCGCCGGCUAACUACGUG